rnacentral:lncRNA from 1 species
GCUGACGGGACUGUCUGUUGACUCUGAUGUGGAAGGGAGAUGUGUACAUGAGCACCGUGUUGCUUCAGAACCCCAGGAAAGGACCAGAAGGUGUGAGACGUCUGUGUCCUUCGCACAUGAAACCUGCUUCCACUGCAUCUCCUUGAAGGCGGAUGUCAUCCUGAAACCUCACACUGCUGUCGGAAGAAGUGUGGUGGGUGCGGCUGCUCCGCUCUCAAACAAGCAGACCGGCCAGGAAAACAGUGGCCGCUUACAGCCUGUGUUCAGUCUGACCAUCAUGUAAUUAACAUCUCAACUUGUUGCUUCUCUAUCUAUAACGUGGCUCUCUGGAUAUUGGCUCGGAAUAUUAUCUAUAGCCCUUCAGAAACAGGUAAAUAUCCUUGACUAUGCUUAAUCACUACGUUAAUUUUAAUCUCCUUUGACUCUUCCUUUGCUUUCCCAUCUCUCACUUCUUUGAUUGCAGGCAUUCUUUGACUAAAGUUUUCCUCAGGUAGAAGAAAGGCAGGCACAUGGCGGGGCAUGGGGCACAAGGACCAUAGGAUUCUGCUCCUGUUUCAAUACCUGUGCUCCUGGAGAAAGGGGGAUGCCGCUAAAACAUUGUCUGCCCAGUUGAGAUGCUGAGCCCUUGUGGUACCUGUGUGAAGCCUGAAAUGGGGGAAUUGUGUCCCUUUGGGAGUGCAGGCUAUCUUAGAUGAGAGACUGUUGACACAGGCACUGAACAAAACUAAAUAUGUGCCAGUUGUUGAUUGAACAGAAUUAGUGGUUUGACAAUAUUGGAUGUUGGGUCUGGGGGCUCUAAUCAAUGAAGCCACACUAUUAUUAGUAGUCAUCCAAUAUGGAAUGACCUAAAAUUUUCCCAAAUCUUAGGCCAGGCAAGAUUCAUGUAUCAAAUGGAGAAAUGGGGAUAAUCAUCCCUUUAGUAAUUAGGGUUUUACAAUUUUCAUCUUUGAAGACUAUGUUUUUAUUUACUUUGAAGCACAUUAAGUGUUUUGACUAGGGGGUGGGGGAGUGGUCCCUUGGAUGCUGUUUUAUGAAACCAAUUCAUAAUCACAAGAAAACUGGUUUAAUUUUAAUAUAUGUUAAAGUGUCUCUGCCCAUAAGGGAUAUUUUAAAACAAUGGCUAGUAUGACUGGAAAUUUAGGCCAGGCAUCAGUUAAAGUGAAACAUUAUAUUCUUCUAUUUUAUAUGUAGAUGGGCUUCCCUGGUGGCUCAGAUGGUAAAUA